UCAUUGGCCGAGUGGAUAACGUGAUGGCGUUUGAAGUGAGGGUACUAGGUUCGAGUCUCAGAGU
rnacentral:tRNA from 1 species